rnacentral:rRNA from 1 species
AGUUUGAUCAUGGCUCAGAUUGAACGCUGGCGGCAGGCCUAACACAUGCAAGUCGAGCGGAAACGAUGGAAGCUUGCUUCCAGGCGUCGAGCGGCGGACGGGUGAGUAAUGCAUAGGAAUCUGCCCGGUAGUGGGGGAUAACCUGGGGAAACCCAGGCUAAUACCGCAUACGUCCUACGGGAGAAAGCAGGGGAUCUUCGGACCUUGCGCUAUCGGAUGAGCCUAUGUCGGAUUAGCUAGUUGGUGAGGUAAUGGCUCACCAAGGCGACGAUCCGUAGCUGGUCUGAGAGGAUGAUCAGCCACAUCGGGACUGAGACACGGCCCGAACUCCUACGGGAGGCAGCAGUGGGGAAUAUUGGACAAUGGGCGAAAGCCUGAUCCAGCCAUGCCGCGUGUGUGAAGAAGGCUUUCGGGUUGUAAAGCACUUUCAGUGGGGAAGAAAUCCUCGGGGCCAAUACCCUCGAGGGAGGACAUCACCCACAGAAGAAGCACCGGCUAACUCCGUGCCAGCAGCCGCGGUAAUACGGAGGGUGCGAGCGUUAAUCGGAAUUACUGGGCGUAA